CCCCUCCUGGCCGGCCGCGCGGUCUGCCCCUGUCAGCCUAGGCCUCGGCCCGGCCUGGCGGGUCCUGGGGACUCCGCACGAGUACUCACUUCAGGGACUCCGAGCCCCUGGCUUCCGUACCUUGGCAGAUCCGCUCCACCAGCGCUCCAGCAGCCCCCGGGCCCUCCGCGGCCUUCCAGACCCCAAGGACAGGGGCACCGGCACAGUCACCCUUCCCAUCGUGGCCCGCUUUGCCCCAUAGCUGCGCCUGAUGUUCCCGGAUUCCUGAGGGUUUUAUGCCACGAUCCUCACCAGCCUUCCAAGCCAGCCAAUAUAAUGGGUGCAUGUGCCUGAUGUAUGUAGACAACUGGGGAACGGAACCCACAAUCUUCCAUAUGGACUCAACAUCACCUGAGCACUGCAUUACCCACUGUACCACCAAGUGGGCCCUGUGUUAUUAUAGAAUCUUAAUCCUGACAAUAUUAAUACCAAGAACACCUAGCACCUUGCAGAACUGAUGGUGCAUAGAGCACUUGGUGCCAAGCUGAAGACACCACUUAUCCUUCACUACUAAGAAAUGCAACCAAAGCCAUUUGCAGUUGCCAUGUACAAUGAGCCUGAUUGCAUCGUAUGAGCAAGCACUACCAUGAAAGUAUACAUCUAAGCAAAGCUUUUCAUUUACUUGACAGAGAAGACAUGCUAAUCUUCUGCUCUUUCUUUAUAUUACGUAUUAUAUUAUCCACAUAUCUUGGAAACAAUUGUCCCCAACCACAAUUAGCUGGGGAGUGGAGGGGUGUUAGGAUUCUGUCCUCUAUAAUAGCAGCCCCCAAAAUUUCCAGUGGGCACCAGGAACUGGCCUUGUGGAAGAUAAUCCCUCCAUGGACAAGAGGUAGAUGAAGGUUAAGGAGGUAAGGGGGUAGUACAUUUGGUCUUGGAAUGACCCAAACACACCACAUCCACCAUGCACCCCAUUUUUAGCACUACCACAUUGCAAUAUGUAAGGAAACAUUCACACAACAAUAGUGUUCAUGAAAAUUCAAUACUGCUGCUUAUCAGUCAGGAGACAGAACCCAGGCAGCAAUGUGAGUGAUGGGGAGGGGCUACAAACACAAAGCCUCACUUCCUUGCUGAUUGCCCAUCCUCUGCAGUGGGGGUGGGGGACACCAACAGGGCAUGACCAGACCAAUCCACAGCCCAGAGAUUAAGAACCCCUGCCUAGUGGACCCAUGAGCCCAGCUAUUUUUCAGUCCUAAAUGGACUUUUAAGUAUUAGUCAGAAAGUUUAAGCUGUCCUCCUAU